GCAGGCUGCAACUCGCCUGCAUGAAGUCGGAAUUGCUAGUAAUCGUGGAUCAGCAUGCCACGGUGAAUACGUUCCCGGGCCUUGUACACACCGCCCGUCACACCAUGGGAGUCGGUAACACCCGAAGCCUGUAGUCUAACCGCAAGGAGGACGCAGUCGAAGGUGGGAUUGAUGACUGGGGUGAAGUCGUAACAAGGUAUC
rnacentral:rRNA from 1 species